rnacentral:tRNA from 1 species
GGAGGAUUAGCUCAGCUGGGAGAGCGUCGCCCUUACAAGGCGGAUGUCGUGGGUUCGAGUCCCUCAUCCUCCACCA